CGCAGUGGUGACAGCAUGUUGAAAGUGCUAGUUCCCCAUGGAUCACUGAAGUUCAGCAACGUUGGGCGUGGCUAGUACCCGGAUGGGUGACCAUCUGGGUCUAUGCAUAAAGUUGCUGCUU
rfam:Asian citrus Psyllid, Diaphorina citri - Florida Strain, whole genome shotgun sequence.